GAUGAACGCUGGCGGCGUGCCUAAUACAUGCAAGUCGAGCGAACGGACGAGAAGCUUGCUUCUCUGAUGUUAGCGGCGGACGGGUGAGUAACACGUGGAUAACCUACCUAUAAGACUGGGAUAACUUCGGGAAACCGGAGCUAAUACCGGAUGAUAUUUUGAACCGCAUGGUUCAAAAGUGAAAGACGGUCUUGCUGUCACUUAUAGAUGGAUCCGCGCUGCAUUAGCUAGUUGGUAAGGUAACGGCUUACCAAGGCAACGAUGCAUAGCCGACCUGAGAGGGUGAUCGGCCACACUGGAACUGAGACACGGUCCAGACUCCUACGGGAGGCAGCAGUAGGGAAUCUUCCGCAAUGGGCGAAAGCCUGACGGAGCAACGCCGCGUGAGUGAUGAAGGUCUUCGGAUCGUAAAACUCUGUUAUUAGGGAAGAACAUAUGUGCAAGUAACUGUGCACAUCUUGACGGUACCUAAUCAGAAAACCACGGCUAACUACGU
rnacentral:rRNA from 1 species